UACGUAGGGAGCGAGCGUUGUCCGGAUUUACUGGGUGUAAAGGGUGCGUAGGCGGCCCUGCAAGUCAGAAGUGAAAUCCAUGGGCUUAACCCGUGAACUGCUUUUGAAACUGCAGGACUUGAGUGGAGUAGAGGUAGGCGGAAUUCCCGGUGUAGCGGUGAAAUGCGUAGAGAUCGGGAGGAACAUCAGUGGCGAAGGCGGCCUACUGGGCUUUAACUGACGCUGAAGCACGAAAGCGUGGGUAGCAAACAGG
rnacentral:rRNA from 1 species